GCGACCUGAAAACCGUGGCACCCGGUGCUCGGCACCGAAUAAACGCUGCCGCUGCCGUUGGCGGCCCAGUUAUCUUUUCGUUUGGGUUUUAAGUGUUGCUGAGGCGGUUUCGGCCCUCGGUCCGCGUAGACACCGCCUCUGGCGACAUUUUCCUGCUUAAAACCCUUUUUUACCUCUGGCCUCGCCAAGUAAAGCCCUCGCUCGCGAGUUGGAGUCACGCCCGCCGCAUCGCCUUCUCCACUGCGGGAGGCAGAGCCCAGAUAGGCCGCGCGCCCUCUCCCCGGUCCCGGGAUUCCGGAGAGCCCGCCCCGCUCCUGAGGCCCCUCUCUCCCAGCCCGUCUGUCCUCACGUCUCCUGAGGCCGGUCCUUCUGCCCCGCAGCAGGCCCCUUUCCUGUCAGCCCGUCCCCUCACCCCGCGUAGGGUAGGUGACCUGGUCCAGCCUUGUGACAGCCAGUGCUGUUCCAUGCCCAGUUCAGCUCGGUCGGAAAAGGUGAUCUUCCGGUCCGGGGGCGUCUCGUUCUGUGGCCCACUCAGUAAAUUCAGGAGGCAGGAGGAUCAGGAGAAGCAGAGUCAGAAGGACUGAGAGAAAUAACUGCAACUGAGGAGAAAAGCAUCAGGGAGAACCAAUGGGAAAACAGAAUGGUUGAGGGAUUUGCAAAGGGAUAGUCAAGUCAAAGAGGUUAAGCCUUGAAAAUAGCCAAGUGAGUAAAAUAGAGAAGUAUUAAUAAAUUAGAAAGCCAGAUCUCCAGGGAUUGGAAAACAGCGUAGGGAGAACUGCCCUGUAUCAGUGAUGAGAGCGGGGAGGCGAAGGGCGAUGAGGACAUCAGAGGUGGAGAGUCCCUAACUGGGUUUUGGCCGGGUUUGAGUCCAGGCCUCUUGGGUUACAGUCCGGAGUUGUGUUUUCACCCGGAUGGAGUCCCGCCACAAGGGUUCAAGUCUCAAUCUGAGGUGGCAGGUUUUCUGGUGCUGGCAGAGAAAGAGAUUCAUUCCUUGCCUGAGUGCUUUCUUCCCCUCAUCUCAUACAUUUGAAAUUUUCUUUGACCUCUGAAGACUCGUGUUGCCUAGGAAGCCCUGAAGUUAAGGAAGAGAAAGGAAAAGGAGUGAGGCAUGGCUCUUUCUCAGGAACGACUGACCUGUGAGGAUGUGGCCAUUGAAUUCACUCAAGAGGAGUGGGUAUUCCUGGGCCCUGCUCAGAGGGCCUUGUACAGGGACGUGAUGCUGGAGACCUACAGGAAUCUGCUAUCUGUGGAUAUCUCUCCUACACAUGUGAUCAAGCAUUUACAACUGGAAGCAAAGAGUGAUAAACUAGAAACAUUCCAAACAUUGAUGCUGGGAAGACCUGAAAGCUGUGAAAUCAAACAUUUUCAUCUUUGGGAAAGUCAGGAAAAUAUGUGUGACUCUGAGUGUCAGGGGAGAGAUGACAAAAGAAAUUACAAAGGGACACUUGUAAGCCUUAAUGGAAAUGUGCCUGAUGGAAGAGAUUCGCAUGAUAGAAAGGAUGCACGAAUCAAGCCCUUUGGAAACAGGUUUGGACUUAACUUUCAGGAUAAACUGCAGAUAUUUCAAACUGGCAGGAUAAUUUCUGAAUAUAAUGAAGUUGAGAGGUCUGUCAGCAACAGUUUCUCAUUUUCACCACUUCAAAGAAUUCCUCCUUGUGUCCAAACCAGUGUUUCUAAUAUAUAUGGGAAUGGUUUUAUGAAUCCUUCAGUAAUAACACAAGAACUCAAAGCACACAAGGAAAAUCCUUAUAAAUGUGAUGAGUGUGGCAAGGCCUUUAGUCACAGCUCACACCUCAGGAGACAUAAGAAAAUUCAUACAGGAAAGAAAUUAUUUAAAUGUGAUAUAUGUGGCAAAGUCUUCAUCGGAAAUUCAAACCUUGCUGUUCAUCAGACAGUUCAUACUGGCGAGAAACCUUACAAAUGUGAUGAGUGUGGCAAGGCCUUUCGUGUAAAGUCAUACCUUUUAAGUCAUCAGACAGUUCAUACUGGUGAGAAACCUUACAAAUGUGAUGAGUGUGGCAAGGCCUUUCGUGUAAAGUCAUCACUUUUAAGUCAUCAGACAGUUCAUACUGGCAAGAAACCUUACAAAUGUGAUGAGUGUGGCAAGGCCUUUCGUGCGAAGUCAAUCCUUUUAAGUCAUCAGACAGUUCAUACUGGAGAGAAACUUUACAAAUGUGAUGAGUGUGGCAAGGCCUUUCGUGUAAAGUCAUACCUUUUAAAUCAUCAGACAGUUCAUACUGGAGAGAAACCUUACAAAUGUGAUGAGUGUGGCAAGGCCUUUCGUGUAAAGUUAUACCUUUUAAGUCAUCAGACAGUUCAUACUGGCGAGAAACCUUACAAAUGUGAUGAGUGUGGCAAGGCCUUUCGUGUAAAGUCAUCACUUUUAAGUCAUCAGACAGUUCAUACUGGCAAGAAACCUUACAAAUGUGAUGAGUGUGGCAAGGCCUUUCGUGCGAAGUCAAUCCUUUUAAGUCAUCAGACAGUUCAUACUGGAGAGAAACUUUACAAAUGUGAUGAGUGUGGCAAGGCCUUUCGUGUAAAGUCAUACCUUUUAAGUCAUCAGACAGUUCAUACUGGAGAGAAACCUUACAAAUGUGAUGAGUGUGGCAAGGCUUUUCAUGUAAAGUCAAUCCUUUUAAGUCAUCAGACAGUUCAUACUGGAGAGAAACUUUACAAAUGUGAUGAGUGUGGCAAGGCCUUUCGUGUAAAGUCAUCACUUUUAAGUCAUCAGACAGUCCAUACUGGUGAGAAACCUUACAAAUGUGAUGAGUGUGGCAAGGCCUUUCGUGUAAAGUCAUCACUUUUAAGUCAUCAGACAGUUCAUACUGGCGAGAAACCUUACAAAUGUGAUGAGUGUGGCAAGGCCUUUCAUGUAAAGUCAUCACUUUUAAGUCAUCAGACAGUUCAUACUGGAGAGAAACUUUACAAAUGUGAUGAGUGUGGCAAGGCCUUUCGUGUAAAGUCAUCACUUUUAAGUCAUCAGACAGUUCAUACUGGAGAGAAACUUUACAAAUGUGAUGAGUGUGGCAAAGCCUUUCGUGUAAAGUCAUCACUUUUAAGUCAUCAGACAGUUCAUACUGGUGAGAAACCUUACAAAUGUGAUGAGUGUGGCAAGGCCUUUCCUGUAAAGUCUACCCUUUUAAAGCAUCAGACAAUUCAUACUGGUGAGAAACCUUACAAAUGUGAGGAGUGUGGCAAGGCCUUUUCUGUAAAGUCAACCCUUUUAAGGCAUCAGACAAUUCAUAGUGGUGAGAAACCUUACAAAUGUGAUGAGUGUGGCAAGGCCUUUCCUGUAAAGUCAACCCUUUUACAGCAUCAGACAAUUCAUACUGGUGAGAAACCUUAUAAAUGUGAUGAGUGUGGCAAGGCCUUUCGUUUAAAGUCAGUCCUUUUAAAGCAUCAGACAAUUCAUACUGGAGAGAAACCUUACAAAUGUGAUGAGUGUGGCAAGGCCUUUCGUGUAAAGUCAACCGUUUUAAGUCAUCAGGCAGUUCAUACUGGUGAGAAACCUUACAAAUGUGAUGAGUGUGGAAGAGUCUUCCGUAAAAAGCCACAGCUUCAACGUCACUGGAGAAUUCAUACUGGAGAGAGACCUUUCAGAUGUAAUGAGUGUGGCAAGUUCUUCAGUCAAAAUUCACACCUUAAAAGGCAUCGGAGAAUACAUAUAGAGAAACCUUUCAAAUGUUUCGAGUGUGGAAAAUCCUUUACUGAGGAUGACUGUAUGAUGGCACACAAAGCACCAGCGGCUGCGACGGCACACAGAGUGUGGCCAAGAGGAACUACCCAAUGUCCCGAGGUCAGGGGCAGAGACCAGGAGGACCCCAUGCCCAAGAGGCGGCAGCCAAAAGGAGUUACCCCAUGUCCAAGGUCGGGGGCAGCAUCUGAGAAUGCCAGGCUGCGACAGCGCAGGAAUGGCCGGGAGGAGCUACCCCAAGUCUAAGGAGGGGCAGCGGUGAGGAGAUACCCCUCGUCCAAGGUAAGGAGCAGUGGCUGUGCUUUGCUGGAGCAGCUGUGAAGAGAGAACCCACGCCCAAGGAUGAGAGGUCCGCUCCAAGCUCCAAGGAGGAGGCAUAUGUACUGAGUCAUUAGUGGAUACAACCAGUCCUAUAUCUGUCCAUUCUACAACCUGCAAUAAAGGGGGAUUAGGUAUAUAAGCCGAAUAAGUGUGAUUAAUCAAGUCAGCCUGAGCGGGGGAAGCAAAAGCAAGCAUAGCGACAAAAAUAUUUUCAGGAUUCCAAAGCAUUCUCUGUUGAGAAACCAGAUUUUCAGCUUGAUUAGUAAGGGUUUUUAUCUGUCCCCAAGUGGGGAGAUCAUAAGGUCGAUGACCUCGAGUGUGGCGUUUCUCGGAAAUUUUUAAAGUCGCCAUGGCUUGUACUGGAAACUCCUCCUCCUGGGGAUUUUGCCAUUAUCUUGAAUGUCGGUGGCUCCCCUGGGGCCGAUCUUCUGAAGAGGGAGCCACCUGAUUUCGUUGGGCCCAUCUGGAGAAAUAUAAGCAUACCCCUUUCCCUGUAAUAUUAAUUUUCCAGAUUUCCAUUGUUCAGUCAACCCGUCUUGAUACCAAAUGGGCAGAGGAAGGGAGAUAUCCUUCAAUGCCUCAAAAUGUUUUUCUGCUUUGUCAAAAUAUCCCCUUGCGGCAAUUUGUUUAAAAAUUUUAACAAAAUAAAGCUGUAUUAACAAUA